AAAAACCAUUGCAGUGGGUGUCUGGGUUAUGGACAUUGGGGAGGGUAUGUGCUAUGGUGAGUACUAUGAAACGUGUAAGCCUGGUGAUUUCCAGACCUGUACCCCAGGGCAAAUAAUACAUUAUAUGUUAAUAAUAAAAAAAUAAUAAAA